rnacentral:rRNA from 1 species
UACGAAGGUCCCAAGCGUUAUCCGGAUUUAUUGGGUUUAAAGGGCGCGUAGGCGGGUUAUUAAGUCAGUGGUGAAAGCCUUCAGCUUAACUGAAGAAUUGCCAUUGAUACUGAUGAUCUUGAGUAUGAUUGAGGUGGGCGGAAUGUGUCAUGUAGCGGUGAAAUGCUUAGAUAUGACACAGAACACCGAUUGCGAAGGCAGCUCACUAAGUCAUAACUGACGCUGAUGCACGAAAGCGUGGGGAGCAAACAGG